rnacentral:rRNA from 1 species
CCUCCUAAAGAGUAACGGAGGAGCACGAAGGUUGGCUAAUCCUGGUCGGACAUCAGGAGGUUAGUGCAAUGGCAUAAGCCAGCUUGACUGCGAGCGUGACGGCGCGAGCAGGUGCGAAAGCAGGUCAUAGUGAUCCGGUGGUUCUGAAUGGAAGGGCCAUCGCUCAACGGAUAAAAGGUACUCCGGGGAUAACAGGCUGAUACCGCCCAAGAGUUCAUAUCGACGGCGGUGUUUGGCACCUCGAUGUCGGCUCAUCACAUCCUGGGGCUGAAGUAGGUCCCAAGGGUAUGGCUGUUCGCCAUUUAAAGUGGUACGCGAGCUGGGUUUAGAACGUCGUGAGACAGUUCGGUCCCUAUCUGCCGUGGGCGCUGGAGAACUGAGGGGGGCUGCUCCUAGUACGAGAGGACCGGAGUGGACGCAUCACUGGUGUUCGGGUUGUCAUGCCAAUGGCACUGCCCGGUAGCUAAAUGCGGAAGAGAUAAGUGCUGAAAGCAUCUAAGCACGAAACUUGCCCCGAGAUGAGUUCUCCCUGACUCCUUGAGAGUCCUGAAGGAACGUUGAAGACGACGACGUUGAUAGGCCGGGUGUGUAAGCGCAGCGAUGCGUUGAGCUAACCGGUACUAAUGAACCGUGAGG